AACGAACGCUGGCGGCAUGCCUAACACAUGCAAGUCGAACGAGACCUUCGGGUCUAGUGGCGCACGGGUACGUAACGCGUGGGAACCUGCCCUUAGGUUCGGAAUAACUCCCCGAAAGGGGUGCUAAUGGCGGAUAAUGUCUUCGGACCACAGAUUUAUCUCCUUUGGAUGUGCCCGCGUGGGAUUAGCUAGUUGGUAGGGUAAAAGCCUACCAAGGCGACGAUCCAUAGCUGGUCUGCGAGGAUGGUCAGCCACACUGGGACUGGGCCACGGCCCAGACUCCUACGCGAGGCAGCAGUGGGUAACAUUGGACCGUGGGCGAAAUGCUGAUCCUGCAAUGCCGCGUGAGUGAUGAAGUCCUUAGAGUUGUAAAGCUCUAUUACCCGGGAUGAUAAUGACAGUACCGGGAGAAUAAGCUCCGGCUAACUCCGUG
rnacentral:rRNA from 1 species